UCCCCUGUGGCUCAGUUGGUAGAGCAUGGUGUUUGCAACGCCAGCAUGGUGUGUGCAACGCCAGGGUUGUGGGUUCGAUUCCUAUGGGGGGCC
rnacentral:tRNA from 1 species